rnacentral:rRNA from 1 species
AUUGAACGCUGGCGGCAGGCCUAACACAUGCACGUCGAGCGGAGCGACGGACGGGUGAGUAAUGCCUAGGAAUCUGCAAGGUCGGGGGGGAUAACGUCCGGAAACGGGCGAUAAUAACACAUAUUAUACGAUGAGCCACGGUCGGAUUAGCGAGUUGUUGGGGUAAAGGCCUCCCAAGGCGACGAUCCGUAACUGGUCUGAGAGGAUGAUAAGUCAAACUGGAACUGAGACACGGUCCAGACUCCUACGUGAGGCACACGUGGGGAAUAUUGGACAAGGGGCGAAAGCCUGAUCCAGCCAGGCCGCGUGUGUGAAGAAGGUCUUCGGAUUGUAAAGCACUUUAAGUUGGGAGGCGUUACCAACAGAAUAAGCACCGGCUAACUUCGUGCCAGCCGCCGCGGUAAUAC